rnacentral:tRNA from 4 species
AGCAGCUUGGCGCAGUGGAAGCGCGGUAAGUUACUUUACACAUUCAACGAAUGGUUAGAUUCAAUAUUCUAACUCUUCAUAGCCGGGCUCAUAACCCGGAGGUCACUGGAUCGAAACCAGUAGCUGCUA